rnacentral:tRNA from 1 species
GGUGACAGCUUAGCGGUAGAGUGCUUGCCUAGCACGUAUGAGGCCCUGGGUUCGAUCCUCAGCACCA